UACGUAGGGGGCAAGCGUUGUCCGGAUUUAUUGGGCGUAAAGAGCUCGUAGGCGGUUCCGUAAGUCGUGAAGUCAAAUCUCUGGGCUCAACCCAGAAUCGCUUCCGAUACUGCGGUGACUGGAGUCCGGUAGGGGAGCGUGGAAUUCCUGGUGUAGCGGUGAAAUGCGCAGAUAUCAGGAGGAACACCAACGGCGAAGGCAGGCACUCUGGGCCGGUACUGACGCUGAGGAGCGAAAGCGU
rnacentral:rRNA from 1 species